UAACAAGGAAGAGUUUGAGAGUCAGCCAUCUAUAGAAUGUGGCAUGCGGUGAGAUAAGAGUGCCGACACACAUUCGUCUAAAAGGAGAUUAUUAAAAGAAGAAAAAAAAGAGUGAAAGACAGGAAACGCAAAAUGUCUUAAUAAGUGGCAAGCUGCUACAAAACUACUUUAGACCGAGGACCGACUGUACCUAUUUUGGUAGCAGCUUGCCAAACAAUACUGUGCAUUCAUCUGUACAGAAACUUAAUGUGGUGUGUGUCAGAAGCUCAGAAAAAACUCAGAAGAAACUGGAGAGAAAAAGCCCCCUCCCCAAAACAUAAUACCAGUGUUACCACUUGACGUUAUUCUUCAAUAACACAAAGCCCAACGCAAAUCAGGGGGAGGAAAACAGGUUUAUUCAAAAGAGGAUAAAUCAUAGAUGUUACGCUGAGAGGUAGAUGGUCGUUCCUUCCCUGUUCUCAGUGAUUCUCUUCUGUGAUUCUCUCCAUCAAACAGUUCCUUCCCUGUCCUCAGUGAUUCUCUCCAUCGAACAGUUCCUUCCCUGUCCUCAGUGAUUCUCUCCAUCGAACAGUUCCUUCCCUGUCCUCAGUGAUUCUCUCCUGUGAUUCUCUCCAUCAAACAGUUCCUUCCCUGUUCUCAGUGAUUCUCUCCAUCGAACAGUUCCUUCCCUGUCCUCAGUGAUUCUCUCCUGUGAUUCUCCCCCCCCCAGAACAAAGGGACAGCGUGUAGUUUUAUAACCCAGCCCUAGCCUGUCUGCGGUUGACCAAUUAGAAUUCCUUGCAAUAAAACUGAGCCAGUGGCCAAAUAACAAAGUAUCCUAUUUCAGACUCAAUAUAUAGACAAAUUCCUCCCAUGUCUCUGCAUUAAUCCCCUAUUUCCAUUGAUCGCUAUAUAAAACUCUAUCGACUUUUAGUCCUCCGUGUCUGCGUUGUGUAUUUAUGUUCCAAAUAUUGUUAUACACUAGACACAAUCGAUAUUGACAGGUCAAACAUUUAUGAAUUAAUUUUUAAAACAAUUAAAAAAAACAUGCCCUUUUAUAUUUUAUUUUUAAACUUUUAAUUAUAAAAAUAUUUAUUACAACAUUCUUCAUUUUGCGUGUAAUUCAUUCAAUCCAGUUGAUUAAUUCAUAGGCGUCCGUAUUUAUAAAGACCCAUUUGGUUGGUUUCUACAUGAUUUAGAGACGAGACUCAGUCCACCUCCCGUUUCAAUCGAAGCCUGUUUGCAUAGAUUCCAGGAGACAUAAUAACAUCUCUGGGCAAGUCUAUCCUUCGUUUCACAACGCAGAAACAAAAGUAGGAAAGAAGAGAUGACAUAACGUAAAAAUGUAAAAAGUGAUAAGGCGAGAUUUUUGUCAAUUCAUUUUCUCUACUUCCUCAGAGUCAGAUGAGAUAACGGAUACCAUUUCCAUGUCUCUGCAUUCAGCACGAAGGAAGUUAAGAAGUAAU
rnacentral:lncRNA from 13 species